AUUGAACGCUGGCGGCAUGCUUUACACAUGCAAGUCGAACGGUAACAGGCCUUCGGGUGCUGACGAGUGGCGAACGGGUGAGUAAUGCAUCGGAACGUACCCAGAGGUGGGGGAUAACGCAGCGAAAGCUGUGCUAAUACCGCAUGUGAUCUGAGGAUGAAAGCGGGGGACCGAGCAGCAAUGUUUGGCCUCGCGCCUUUGGAGCGGCCGAUGUCGGAUUAGCUAGUUGGUGGGGUAAAGGCCUACCAAGGCGACGAUCCGUAGCUGGUCUGAGAGGACGACCAGCCACACUGGGACUGAGACACGGCCCAGACUCCUACGGGAGGCAGCAGUGGGGAAUUUUGGACAAUGGGCGAAAGCCUGAUCCAGCAAUGCCGCGUGCGGGAAGAAGGCCUUCGGGUUGUAAAACGCUUUUGGCAGGAACGAAACGGUGUCCGCUAAUACCGGGCGCUAAUGACGGUACCUGCAGAAUAAGCACCGGCUAACUACGUG
rnacentral:rRNA from 1 species